UGCGAAACUUGCCACAAGAUAAGACUUCUUUUAAGGGCCGUGGGAGAUGACCACGUAGAUAGGCUACAGAUGUACAGGCAGUAAUGUCUUAGUCGAGUAGUACUAAUUACCCGUAGAUUUAAC
rnacentral:rRNA from 1 species